CCUCACUUACGCCUCGUAGUCUUCCUUUCCCUCAGGCCCAGUUCUUAUCCCACUGGGUUUCUCAGGUGUAGAACUGACGCUGGAAUGCAGAGUUCUUUAGAAGGAUCUGCUGACUUGAAUUGAGGACAAGGUGACUUCUCUGCUGGCCCCAAAGGACUGCUCCUUACCCUCAGAGACAGGGUCUGUGCGCCCCAGCCCUGCAGAGGGAUCCCAAGACAUUAACGUACUUUAUGACAAGGAAGAGUAAGACGACACCUACAUACUUACAGUAUCGUCUGCGUCUGAAAUUCAACCCUCCACGAACGUUUUCCCAGGUUACUAAAUACUCGUCCACAUCCACGUCUGCGCCCCCGGGUAUGCGGCCACCACGCCCUUGCUCAACAGUAACAGCGAACGCCAGCUAGCCGGCUUCGUCGUCAUCACCAUCGGAUGGACCCCGGGCACCGCGGCCGUGGGCCUGGCGGAGUGUCCAGGGCGGUACAGCGACACUGCCGCGCUCUCCCCGCCGGCCCGGCCCGCGUGGGGAUGCGGUGAGCCUGCGUCUUCCACCACAUCCACGAUGC